AGUGAACGCUGGCGGUAGGCCUAACACAUGCAAGUCGAACGGCAGCACAGUAAGAGCUUGCUCUUACGGGUGGCGAGUGGCGGACGGGUGAGGAAUACAUCGGAAUCUACUUUUUCGUGGGGGUUAACGUAGGGAAACUUACGCUAAUACCGCAUACGACCUACGGGUGAAAGCAGGGGAUCUUCGGACCUUGCGCGAUUGAAUGAGCCGAUGUCGGAUUGGCUAGUUGGCGGGGUAAAGGCCCACCAAGGCGACGAUCCGUAGCUGGUCUGAGAGGAUGAUAAGCCACACUGGAACUGAGACACGGUCCAGACUACUACGGGAGGCAGCAGUGGGGAAUAUUGGACAAUGGGCGCAAGCCUGAUCCAGCCAUACCGCGUGGGUGAAGAAGGCCUUCGGGUUGUAAAGACCUUUUGUUGGGAAAGAAAAGCAGCAGGUUAAUACCACGCUGUUCUGACGGUACCCAAAGAAUAAGCACCGGCUAACUUCGUG
rnacentral:rRNA from 1 species